GGUGGUGGACAUCGUGGAUUGUGACUCUCUGAGAGGUGAACACCUUCAGAUCUCCAAGAUGAUCUCCAGAGCUGUGAUGAUGAUGGUGUUGGUGGUGGCCGCUGUCCUGGUGGCGGCCCUGGCCGGUCCCGUGGCAGCCCCGGUAGGUCACCCGGGAUAUCUUGGCUACGGUGGAUAUGGUGGUUAUGGUGGAUAUGGUGGAUAUGGACGUGGAUUUGGAUUUGGACAUCGAUUUGGUUAUGGACGCUGAGGCCAAGUUGGUUGAGUCGUGACACUGUGAGGAAUGUGGAAACUUCAGCGUCAACCUUAUAUUAUUUUGUAAUAAAUAUAUAAAUAUA